UGCAUUGUAGGAUGAUUGGCACUGUCCACUC
rnacentral:piRNA from 1 species